GACGAACGCUGGCGGCGUGCUUAACACAUGCAAGUCGAACGAUGACGACCGAGCUUGCUCGGUCUGAUUAGUGGCGAACGGGUGAGUAACACGUGAGUAACCUGCCCUUCACUCUGGGAUAACUUCGGGAAACCGGGGCUAUUACCGGAUAUGAGCUCCUGUCGCAUGGCGGGUGUUGGAAAGUUUCGCGGUGGAGGAUGGGCUCGCGGCCUAUCAGUUUGUUGGUGAAGUAGUGGCUCACCAAGGCGAUGACGGGUAGCCGGCCUGAGAGGGCGACCGGCCACACUGGGACUGAGACACGGCCCAGACUCCUACGGGAGGCAGCAGUGGGGAAUAUUGCACAAUGGGCGAAAGCCUGAUGCAGCGACGCCGCGUGAGGGAUGACGGCCUUCGGGUUGUAAACCUCUUUCAGCAGGGAAGAAGCGAAAGUGACGGUACCUGCAGAAGAAGCGCCGGCUAACUACGUG
rnacentral:rRNA from 1 species